rnacentral:rRNA from 1 species
GUGGGGAAUCUUCCGCAAUGGACGAAAGUCUGACGGAGCAACGCCGCGUGAGUGAUGAAGGUCUUCGGAUUGUAAAGCUCUGUUAAUCGGGACGAAAGAGCCUAGUGUGAAUAAUGCUAGGAAGUGACGGUACCGGAAUAGAAAGCCACGGCUAACUACGUGCCAGCAGCCGCGGUAAUACGUAGGUGGCAAGCGUUGUCCGGAAUUAUUGGGCGUAAAGCGCGCGCAGGCGGAUCUGCCAGUCUGUCUUAAAAGUUCGGGGCUUAACCACAUGAUGGGAUGGAAACUACAGAUCUAGAGUAUCGGAGAGGAAAGUGGAAUUCCAAGUGUAGCGGUGAAAUGCGUAGAGAUUUGGAAGAACACCAGUGGCGAAGGCGACUUUCUGGACGAUGUCUGACGCUGAGGCGCGAAAGCUAGGGGAGCGAACGGGAUUAGAAACCCUUGUAGUCC